AUUGAACGCUGGCGGCAGGCUUAACACAUGCAAGUCGAGCGGAUGAAGGGAGCUUGCUCCUGGAUCCAGCGGCGGACGGGUGAGUAAUGCCUAGGAAUCUGCCUGGUAGUGGGGGAUAACGUCCGGAAACGGGCGCUAAUACCGCAUACGUCCUGAGGGUGAAAGUGGGGGAUCUUCGGACCUCACGCUAUCAGAUGAGCCUAGGUCGGAUUAGCUAGUUGGUGGGGUAAAGGCCUACCAAGGCGACGAUCCGUAACUGGUCUGAGAGGAUGAUCAGUCACACUGGAACUGAGACACGGUCCAGACUCCUACGGGAGGCAGCAGUGGGGAAUAGUGGACAAUGGGCGAAAGCCUGAUCCAGCCAUGCCGCGUGUGUGAAGAAGGUCUUCGGUUUGUAAAGCGCUUUAAGUUGGGAGGAAGGGCAGUAAGUUAAUACCUUGCUGGUUUGACGGUACCAGCAGAAUAAGCACCGGCUAACUACGUG
rnacentral:rRNA from 1 species